rnacentral:rRNA from 2 species
UCAACGGAUAAAAGGUACUCCGGGGAUAACAGGCUGAUACCGCCCAAGAGUUCAUAUCGACGGCGGUGUUUGGCACCUCGAUGUCGGCUCAUCACAUCCUGGGGCUGAAGUAGGUCCCAAGGGUAUGGCUGUUCGCCAUUUAAAGUGGUACGCGAGCUGGGUUUAGAACGUCGUGAGACAGUUCGGUCCCUAUCUGCCGUGGGCGCUGGAGAACUGAGGGGGGCUGCUCCUAGUACGAGAGGACCGGAGUGGACGCAUCACUGGUGUUCGGGUUGUCAUGCCAAUGGCACUGCCCGGUAGCUAAAUGCGGAAGAGAUAAGUGCUGAAAGCAUCUAAGCACGAAACUUGCCCCGAGAUGAGUUCUCCCUGAGACUUAGAGUCUCCUGAAGGAACGUUGAA